rnacentral:rRNA from 1 species
AGCGAACGCUGGCGGCAGGCUUAACACAUGCAAGUCGAGCGGGCAUCUUCGGAUGUCAGCGGCAGACGGGUGAGUAACACGUGGGAACGUACCCUUCGGUUCGGAACAACUCUGGGAAACUGGAGCUAAUACCGGAUACGCCCUUAUGGGGAAAGGUUUACUGCCGAAGGAUCGGCCCGCGUCUGAUUAGCUAGUUGGUGGGGCAACGGCCUACCAAGGCGACGAUCAGUAGCUGGUCUGAGAGGAUGAUCAGCCACACUGGGACUGAGCCACGGCCCAGACUCCUACGGGAGGCAGCAGUGGGGAAUAUUGGACAAUGGGCGCAAGCCUGAUCCAGCCAUGCCGCGUGAGUGAUGAAGGCCUUAGGGUUGUAAAGCUCUUUUGUCCGGGACGAUAAUGACGGUACCGGAAGAAUAAGCCCCGGCUAACUUCGUG